GAGUUUGAUCGUGGCUCAGAUUGAACGCUGGCGGCAUGCCUUACACAUGCAAGUCGAACGGCAGCAUGAUCUAGCUUGCUAGAUUGAUGGCGAGUGGCGAACGGGUGAGUAAUACAUCGGAACGUGCCCUGUAGUGGGGGAUAACUAGUCGAAAGAUUAGCUAAUACCGCAUACGACCUGAGGGUGAAAGUGGGGGACCGCAAGGCCUCAUGCUAUAGGAGCGGCCGAUGUCUGAUUAGCUAGUUGGUGGGGUAAAGGCCCACCAAGGCGACGAUCAGUAGCUGGUCUGAGAGGACGAUCAGCCACACUGGGACUGAGACACGGCCCAGACUCCUACGGGAGGCAGCAGUGGGGAAUUUGGACAAUGGGCGAAAGCCUGAUCCAGCAAUGCCGCGUGUGUGAAGAAGGCCU
rnacentral:rRNA from 1 species